rnacentral:rRNA from 1 species
GACGAACGCUGGCGGCGUGCUUAACACAUGCAAGUCGAGCGGUAAGGCCCUUUCGGGGGUACACGAGCGGCGAACGGGUGAGUAACACGUGGGUGACCUGCCCUCAGCUCUGGGAUAAGCCUGGGAAACCGGGUCUAAUACCGGAUAUGACUCCAUGACGCAUGUUGUGGGGUGGAAAGCCUUGUGCGGCUGAGGAUGGGCCCGCGGCCUAUCAGCUUGUUGGUGGGGUGAUGGCCUACCAAGGCGACGACGGGUAGCCGGCCUGAGAGGGCGACCGGCCACACUGGGACUGACACACGGGCCAGACUCCUACGGGAGGCAGCAGUGGGGAAUUUUGGGCAAUGGGCGAAAGCCUGACCCAGCAACGCCGCGUGAGGGAGGAAAUCCUUCGGGAUGUAAACCUCACAAGCAAGGGAAGAGAGCUCAGGGCCGAACAAGCUUUGAGUCCGACGGUACCUUGCGUAAGCCACGGCUAACUACGUGCC